rnacentral:lncRNA from 1 species
CUUCUGCCCAUUGGAUAAGAUGGGCCUGUUUCGCACGCAAAGCAAUAAUACCAAGGUGACAAAGGAAAAUGAAAUGUAACCAGUUUUACGAGUUACCUACGUGAAGGUGAAGCUCGUGGUGAUUAUUUCAAGAAUGUUUGUUCAAAGCUUUCGUUGUGAAAGGAGCGCAAGGCAGACCGAUCAAGCUCGGUUUGAGCAGGACCACGUUCAUCAACGAUUCCACCAUCAGACUUUCCAACCACCAUUUAUUAUGGCAUUUCCAGUUCUAUUUCCUCAAUCAUCAACGUUCCUCAUGCCCGUGGUUUUGCGAGCCUGCUACCUGGUAAUGUUUGGUCUUUCAUCAGUGACUGCAGGCACAAAAGAAAACAACACACAUACAAACAAACUGGCUCUGCCAAUUGGGCUUAGCCUAGGAAUCGGCAUUCCUAUUCUCAUCCUGUUGGUGGGUGUGCUUGUUCACCUGUUCUAUAAAAGGUCCCAUUCAUCGAACACCACAAGUUCGACGUUUUCUGGAUCCCAUUCCAAAAAUACGAAAUCUGCAAGUCAGUCUACCUUCGAGCAAUCUAGUACUGAAAAUAUUUCAAAUGAUACAAACUCUCCGAAGUUGAAGGACAGCAUCAUCUUGCCUUCAUAAAAAAAAAACAGAGCGAAACCACAAAGACCUUCACUGCCAGACCUCUUGUCACUUUGCAUAUUGCCAAAUCCAACACCCCCUGGAUCAAAACCGUUAUAGACAAAGACAGCAAUCAAAGAACUUUACAAACAAUCAAAGCACCUGUCCUUCUGCCAAUCAUUUCUAUUUCCCUUCCAAUGAACAAAUUGUGAACAUUUCUGCCACCCAUUCCCAGCCUUUCUUUUUUUGCUUUUAUUGGCCUCAGAACUCAGAUUAAACACAAGCCCUGAAUCAUUGUUUUGAUGCAUUUUUAACUACAGGGUGCCCCACAGAAAACCAGGAAAUUUGAGAUUUUGAGAUUUAUUUUGCCGUAUUUUAGCAUAUAAAUAAACUAACAUAUUAAUAAAGUGUAUCUUUGUUUUACACUACAUCUAAGUUUACUUUUGCUUUGUUUUAAAUAAACUGUACCAAAUUUCCUGGUUUUCUGUGGGGCACCCUGUAGUACUGUAUUUUGAUUUUAUUAGUGUAAAAAGUACAAUUCUAGGAAGUUUCCCAAAAUGAGAUGGAAUUUUAAAUGUUUCAUAAAGCCAAAGCAACGAUCAAUUUAUAUUCAAAAUAUAAUACCUUUGUAUAGUGUAUUAUACAGCAUUGUGGUAAAGAUCAUUUGGUGUUACAAACCUUGCAGUUGGGCUCCCAAGUUCUUGUUUGUAAUUUGUGUCCAUCUCUGAACUCUUCAUCUCCCCUGAUGGAGAUGAGGGGGUUCAUGUAACACAUGUAUUGAGAUUUGUAAUGCAAGCUCUAAAAACAUUCGAUUGUCAUAAAAACUCGAUAAAGCUGGUGGUGUUAGUGGAGGACAAUAUUGUCGACAGAGCAUCAGGACACGAGGAGGUCUUGAAUGUUUCCAAACAACCAAUCCUGGACAGGUAACCAAUUUGUGGCAGGAUGGAGCCAUUUCCAUUGAGUUUAUCAUGGAAAACAAACCCCCAACAGUGAAGGCAAAUGCAUCAAUGCUUUACACACUCCACCAUAAAGCCAUUCAGCUAACAAGGGGAAAAAAUGCAUUCUCCGCUCCUGUUCUGAACACACUUUCAGAGUAUUCUUGAGAUGAAAAUAUUAUUGAUAUACCUGUAUCUGUGGAUUCAAUGCAAUCUGAUUUGUCUCUAACAUUAUAAAUAAAAACUUGUAUUAUACGAGUUGUGUGUAUCUGCUAUUUCAUUAUUCAUUUAAAGUCCUCACCCUCAAUCAUUCAAAAGAAAGAGGUAAUAAAUUGUGAGCAAUGACGAUUGUGAUAAAAUUAUGAUAUUGUUAUAGUCAUGACUCGAGGUAAAUUUAUUCCUAUCGACUCCAAGGCACAUAAUGUAAUAAUAAAACCCUCAAGGCAAUGACUAUAAUUAUAGAAUUGAUUGACUUUGUAUCAAAGAAG